CGGACUCGGAGCGGAGCGGGUCCCAGGGGCGUGGGGGAGUGGGCAGUCGCCGGACUGGGGCAAAGCGGGUCCCAGGGGCGUGGGGCCGUGGGGGAGUGGGAGGUCGCCGGACUCGGGGCGGAGCGGGCCGUGGGGGAGUGGGAGGUCGCCGGACUCGGGGCGGAGCGGGGCGUGGGGGCGUGGGAGGUCGCGGGGCGGCCGGGUCCUAGGGCCGUGGGGGAGUGGGAAGUCACCCGACUCCGGGCGGAGCGGGUUCUAGGGCCGUGGGGGAGUGGGAAGUCGCGGGGCGGAGCGGGUCCCAGGGUCGUGGGGGACUGGGAAGCCCCGGGGCGGCCUGGGCGGAGCUCCCGGUAAACCCUGGGUCAACUUCGGAAGAUAGUUCCCUUGUCCAUUCUCUUAGGUCGGUGGCAUCUGCAUUUAAAGGGGUGUUUAGAAGGGCACUCUAUUAAGUCACUCAAGUUUCCCUCUUUACAACGGGUAUAAAGAAUUGAGGUUUUAUUUUUUUAUUAAUAAAUGUGAAUUUACAAAGUGCAACUUUUGUAUUGUUGUGGCUUCCCCCCCACCUCCCUCUCUCCCGCGGCCCUCCCCCUCCCACUCCUUCUCCCAUCCCGCCCUUCAUCGAGUUUCAUUUUCAAUCACCUUCAUAUACUGAAGAUCAACUUAGUAUACACUAAGCAAGGAUUUCAACAGGCUGCCCUCACACAACCGCACAAGGUAUAGGGUAUUGUUCGACUAGUAGUGUUGUUUUAAGUUUCAUAGUUAAACACACUAAGGACAGAGAUCCUACGUGGGGAGCAUGUACCCAGUGACUCCCAUUGUAGAUUUAACAAUUGGCACUCUUAUUUAUGACGUCAGCAAUCACCCGAGACACUUGCUAUGAGCUGUCUAGGCUAUGGAAGCCCUUGAGUUCACCGACUCUGAACUUGUUUAGUCAAGGCCGUAUCACAGUGGAGGUUCCUUCCUCCCUUCAGAGAAAGGCGCCUCUCUCCUUGAUGGCCUGAUCCUUCUGCUGGGGUCUUGUCCACCAGGAUCUUUCAUUUAGGUUGUUUUUUGCCACCGUGUCAUGGCUUCCCAUGCCUGUGAGACUCAAGAAUUGAGAUUUUCAAACGGGUAGACAAAUAUAUCUACUUUGACGCUGCUUUUCGAAGGUAGUGGGUCCAUCCACUUUUUUUUUAAGAUGUAUUUAUUGGGGGAGAGAGAGGUCUUCCCUCUGCUGGUUCACUCCCCAAAUGGCUGCACUGGCGGGAGCUGGAUGAUCAGGAGCUUCUCCUGGGUCCCCCACGCAGGUGCAGGGCCCCCAAGGACUUGGGCCAUCUUCUGCUUUCCCAGGCCACAGCAGAGAGCUGGAUCCCAAGUGGAGCAGCCAGGACGCGAACCGGCGCCCAAAUGGGAUGCUGGUGCCUGCAGGCGGUGGCUUCAUACACUCUUAACCUGUUGUUAACUUUUCUCUGGCUUCCUUACAAAAAUUAAAGAAAUGUUCUACUUAAGGGAAGCAUGAAAAGGUUUCCAGAAAUUGACUUUCUCACCAACAAUCUAAUAGGCGUUUAUUGAACAUCUAAAUUUUAAUGGGAAAUAGGUAGAAUAUUAACUGGUCCGUGUUAGAGAGAGCUGACAUGCCUUUUUGCAGAGCCCAGACGGUACAUGCUAAAGUGACAGCAUUUACAGCAUUUUCUUUUUGCCCUUGUUCAACCUAAAAUAACAAUUUUUAGGUGUUUUAAUGUAUUGGGAUAUUUCUGUUUUACCGCUUCAUUUGUAGGUACUACCUAUUAAGUUCUAUAUUGGAAAAUUGUUAAGGAAGGGCUGGCUGGCAUUGCGGCGUGGCGGGUUAAGCUGCUGCCUGCAGUGCCGGCAUCCCCUGUGGGCGGCAUUUCAGUCCUAGCUGCUCCGCUUCCGAUCCAGCUCCCUGUUAUGUGUCCCAGAGAGCAACGGAAUAUGGCGCAAGUCCUUGAGCGCCUGCACCUUCGGGCUCCUGGCUCCUGGCUCCUGACUGGGGCAUGGCCCAGCCCUGGCUAUUGGGGCCAUUUGGGGAGUGAACCAGUGGGUGGAAGAGCUCUCUCUCUUACUCUCCCUCUCUCUGACUGUAACUCUGCCUUUCAAAUAAAUAUUUAAAACAGCAACAAAAAGAAAAUUGUUAAGGAACACAUACAAAAGCAGAUGAGAGUAAAAGCAAUGUAAGACCCCUUUUAUUCCUGAAUUUCAUUCAUUCACACAUUAAUUCAUUUAUUAGCUCAGUCUUUGUGCUAAGCACUAUGUAGGUUACCGAAUAAGUUGGAAUUCAACAGGAUACAAGAUGAGAGACAUGGUUCCUGCCCUCACUGGCAGCCCCUAGGGAGGUGGCGUGUCACCCAAAUCAUCACACUGUUAGGAACUGAAAUGCAAGGGGACCCACACUCUGGAGGAGGGCAUGGAAGAGUUGAUCCACGUGAAGACGGGAAAUGUCCCGAGGAAGCAGCACAGGGAUGUGGAAAAAGAACGGAAAGAGUUGCAGAGACAGAAGCACAGGCCAAGGCCCUGCAGAGGGGCAGGGAGGCGAGCAAGCCAGGAACCCAGAACAGGGCCGGUACGGCUGCAGCACAGAGUGGACCGAGGUGCGUUGGGGGAAAACUGCCCACAGCGUGCUGGUCAAGCUAGGAAGCGUUUCUGCUUGGUUUUCAGUUGCGAGUACUGGGAAGCAGGAUGCAGUGUGGAGAUGGAGUGCAAUGUGGGAAGCACUUUGUAGAGAGCGAACUCAGCAGUCUACCUGAGAUUUCAGAGUUGACUUGUGAGGAAUGUGAUUGUGGAACCCCUAAGGAACUCAGAUAGCGACAUUGUGACAUCACAAUUCCAAGCCCUCCAGUGUGGAAAAAGGGUUUUCAUUUUGUGCAUGAAGCUUGGGUGAGUUUGCCUCUCUGCGUGUAUGGCUUUUGAUUCUGCUAGGAGUCUAAAACGUCCUCCCUGAGUUCAGAUCUCUUGGGAGUCAGAGAAUCAGACACUAACGGUGUACUGUGGUGAACAGAGUGCUUGUGACAUCAUAGGCCCAGCUCUACUUCCAGAUUUCCAAGGAGAGGCAGCAUUUGAGUUGGAACUUGGAGGAUGAGCAGAAGGUCAUGAGAUACACCUGGGAAGAGGGAGGUGGGGAUUCCACGCAGGAGCAAAGUUCUUCAAAUGAAUACACAACAUGUAAUGUUAAUGACAAUGCAUUGGGAGAGGAGUGUGAAAGCGAGAUAAGAAGCAGAUUAUCAAGGACUUGUUUGCCUAGUUAAGGAGUUUAGGUAUCAGCCCCUAAGCAGGUGGGAGCUGCUGAAGCAUUUUCAACAUGAUCAGAUUGGAUGAUGCAAAAAAAACAUUUUGACAGCAGUAUGAAGGAUGAAGUAUGAAGGGUGCAAAUAGAACCAGAGAGACUAGUAAGGAGGCAUUUGCAGAAGUUUAGGCAACAGAUGGAGGUGCCUAACCUGGGAUGGUGGGACCCAGAGAACCGGACAGGUCAAAGAGGUGUCUAGAGAACGGAAAGAAACUGAUGGAAGGCCAAGGGGAAAGUAGGGCUUAGGACAAAUGUAGCACAUCUGGCCUGGCCAUCGGGCUGUGAGGUGGUGUCUCAGAAGUGGGCACACAGGACAAGGAGCAGGUGUUGAGGGAAGCCGAUCACUUUGGGACGUGUUUUAUUCUAAGUCCCUGUGGCUCAUCAAGAGGAAGUGGCUAACGGGCUCUUCUAGAGAGCUGAAGCUCAGGAGGAAGAGUCUGUCUAGAGAUGAAAGUUUGGGACCCUGUGGCCAUGGAGAAAAUUUUGCUGGAAUCAAAGAGAAAAUAAGAGAAGGGUUGAAGAGAGAGCCCUAGGGAACACACAAAUUAAGAAGCUUGAAGACGUGCCUUCAGGGAGCCCAAGAUGGAGCCAUCAAAGAGGUGGAGGAAGCUGCUGAGAGAUGGCCCCCCCACCGUCACCGUACCCCACCCCCACCCCCCCACCCCCCCCACCCCGGCUAGGAAAGGGAAGUUCAGCCAGGGUUGCCAGACACGGAAGUGACGUGGACACUGUUGACAAGCGCACCUUCCUGUGGCACGCAAGGCUUCACCGGUUACCUCGGCAGGGCUGAUUUUAGUGGAGUUGUCAGGGGCAGAAACCAGACAGCUGAUGAGGAGGGAUCAGGAGCCAAGGACUUGGAGGAGGGAGUCUUUCUAGAAGGCUGUCUCUGGACGCACACGCAAAAACAAACACGACCAAGAAAAGACUAAAUUAUCGACGCGUGGUCAGGCCUGAGCGAGGGUUCUGACUCCCACAGAGACACACAGCAGGACGCCUCCUGGGGGACACGCCGCGCUGCGGGGUCUGGCAGCAUCCAGCAUAGGAGUGACUUUUACAGAUGUCUGGUGACUGGGUAGACGAGUCAACUCUUGUAUUGUCCCCUUCUGACAGACGUCUGCCAGAGCCCUGCCUGGUAGCCCCCGACACCAAUAGAUGAGAAAGAAGCAGAGAAAGGAAGCAGGCGGUGAGCCUGUGGACUCCUGGGCCCGCUGCUGAGAAGUGGUGUUGUGUGUGGGGGUGAGAGCACAGGCCUGGAGACAGCCUGCAGGUACCAAAGCCUGACUCCCCCCAACCCGCCCCAAGACACGCAGGUGCUGCACCUCUCUGAGCCUCGGUAGUCUCAGCUGGCGACAGUGUGGACAGGGAUUGUACCCUCCUGGUGCGGCUGUAAUAAGGAACAGAUGGAUAAAUAGAACAGUGCCCAGCACAAAGGAAGCCCUCGCAUGCAUUUUGGUUAUGAGGGACUACUGCCACACCCAGAACCGUGACAGUGACGCUGUGACAGAGAGGGUGUGACGCCUACUUCCCUGGAUAUCCUGAAAAGAAUCUGUCAGAAUGCUCCUGUGUCUUUCAACCGGAGAGCACCUGUUCCCUACUGUUCACUACUGUGGCAUGCUGUUCCACUGCCAUACCAGCUGGAUGGACUAAGGGGCAGCUAAAGUGGGAAGGAAACCUUGGAGGAUGAGUGAGGAAGGCAGCUGCUAAAAUAGCUCGCAAGGAUCCCUGACACCUGGUGGUCCUACUCUGCGUCAUCCCCUCCACUUUGUGCUGGGCUGGCUCUAGAGAUUGACUUUUACACAAAAUAUGCUGCAAAAGUGGUGCGAUGUUCCUUUUUUUUUUUUUUAGAUUUAUGUUAGUUGAAAGGCAGCACAGCAGGGAAAGUGAGCGAGAGAGAGAUCUUCCAUUCACUGGUUCACUCCCCAAAUGGCCGCAACAGCCAGGGCUAGGCGAGGCCAAAGUCUGGGGUCUGCCACAUGGGUGGCAGGGGUCCAAGUACUCGGGCCAUCAUCCGCAACUUUCCCAGGCACAUCAGCAGGAAGCUGGAUCCAAAACAAAGUAGCUGGGACUCAAGCCGGCAUCGCAAGUGGAGGCUUAACCCACUGCACCGCAACACUGGCCCAGGAUGUCCUUUCUGAAAUUAGGUUAUUUAGAAAAAUGGCCUCCCCGCCCCGCCCCGCCCCGCCCCGCCCCUUUUGCUUCUUCCUCUUCCUCUUGUUUAUCUACUCUCCCUUCUCUCUCUCCUGUGCCUUUCUUUGCUGCUGUGUCUAUCUUGCUCUUCCUGUCUCUCUCAGCUCUCUGGGGAAAGCAGGCAACCAUAUGAGGGGUCUUCAACAAGUUAAUGGAAAAUGCACAUCAUGAAAAAAUGAUGCAUAGAUUUGAAAGGUUUUACACCAAAACAUCUUUAAUUUCCAUUUUUCUCUUUGAAGUCUUAUGCUGUAGGCAGCUCUAUAAAGAGGCCCCAUAUGGCAAGGAAUGGUCAUCUCUAGCCGUGAACCCAUGAGGACCCACAGUUUGCCAGCAGCCACAGGAGUGAGCUUGUAAGCAGAUGCUCAGUCAUGCUUAAAGUGAUUGCCACCUCAGAUGACACCCUGAUUGCAACCUAGGGACUCAUCCUGAGUCAGGGGACUCAGAGGAGCUGCGUCCAGAUUCCUGACCUCCAGAAACUGGGGGAAAAAUAAAAGAAAUCAGGGCUGACUAUCCCAAGCCUGUAAGUUUGGAGUAAUUUGUUACACAGCUGUGGGUAACUAAUACAAUGGGAAUAAAGAGGACAAGGUGAUCAGCAACCUUUAUUUAGUUUCCUGGAAGUGUAGUAAAUAACUUUCAAGGCUGGAACAGUCCCACUAUGACCGCUGCGUUACUCUAAAGACACCCUGCAGAGUGUUCACCCACAAGACAUGCUGAGAGAAAGAAAAGGAAUAUUCUCCUGAUCUGGCAAGUCUACAUGGUUUAGCUCCCCCUUUGGAAAUGUAUGGUGAACACAUCCAUCCUCCUGAAUGCCCUGGAAAGUCCUACAGUGACUUGAUCUAAGUCAGCAUUGCCCAAAUCUGUUUGACCCUGCAACCUGUUUUCCUCCCAACACCUAUUAAUAGACUGUGAAACAUCCAGUCCUCAGAACGUAUUUUAGAAACACUGUAUGAGAUUAGAAUUGGCGCUUCAACCUCGGCUCUCAGAACGGGAAAGGCCUUUCAUAGCAAGGAGCCCCAGACAGUUCAUUACGAGUUGGAUUCUGGGUCAACUCUUAGCGGUAAUUCGGGUGACUGCUUCAAGCAAGUUGCUGUAGCUUCCUGCAUGUACCUGUAAUAUACACGGUGCUACACGACUUUGAAUCCCACACAGCACUGCAAGGCUGUGAAACUACAGAAGAGCAACCUAAAGUACAGGGAAGGGAUCUCCCCUCUUCAUUCACUGCUCCAGUCCCAGACCCCAGCCCUGCACCUGGCACAUAGCAGUAACCUUUACUGAAUGAAUAACUGAGUCAGUGCACACCAUGGUAUCGUAAUUGUGUUUUAUUUGUUACGUACUAAGUUAAUAUAGCAACUAGGUAAAGUUAUCCUCUUCCCCCCAAGUUGAUAUUCCCAAGUUCUCAUGGAGAAAAAUUUCUACAAAUUUAACAGAGAACUUUGGAUGAGAAGGGGUGAAAUCAGUAAGGUACAGUAUUGCAACAUUAGGCAAUAUCUAAGUACUUUGGGAAUCUGAGGAUGAUUAAUACCUUCCAAUUUAAAAUCCCAGGGAUCUACGUUUUGCAACUUUUUCUUUAAAGGGCCACGCAGUAAGUAUUUCCCACUUUGUGGGCCAGACUGUCUCAGAUAACUACUCAGCUCUGCUGGUGUAGCAUGAAGGCAGUCAUAGAUAGUGUGUAAGGAAGUGGGCAUGGCUGUUCUGCAAUAAACACAGCCGUGCCCACAGGCCAGAGCUUGUCGACCUUGUGGGAGAGGAGUACGGUGAUUACUGUGAUCUAAUCUUUCUCAAAAUUCGAUAUAAGGCAGAAGAUGUUCACCACAGCAUUGCGAAGAACAAGAGCUUGUGUCUAGGCAGCCAUCAAGGACAUUGUCAUAAAUAAUUAAAGGAUUGCCUUGAAGUCUCAAAGAAUAGGUCGGAUUUUGUCAAAUGAUAUGUGUGGGGUAGAAAGUGUGCAUUAGGAGCAUGGGAAAGGAAAACAAAGCCAUGUAGGGGGUACUUGGUAAUGAGCCAGUCAUCUAGAGGAGAGAUGCAUUAUCAUAGUUUAUUUGCUACCAUUGAAAGAAUGAUACACUCUAGUCCCAAGAUUUCAGGCCAUAAAAGCUAACCAAUGUGUAUUUUAGUGUUUCUGAAAGUUCACAUUUCUGAGUCCACUAAUCCCAUGGUUUCCUAAGAAGGAAGGUGUAUCAGUUAGGCAUGCAUUUGGCCAGAAAUAACAGAAGAGCCAAUGAAUAGUGACUUAGACAAAUAGGGACUUAUUCUCUCCCAUAAUACAAAAUCCAGAGAGAGGUGGUUGAUCCACAAUGCGUCGGAGGGCUUCUGUGUUCACUCUCUUGCGUUUGAUUGUGGUCAAGUCACCUUUGUGCCUUUCUACAGUCAUCUCUGAUUCUCAUCUCUGCAGGGUUUGCCUGUAAGAGGAGCUCACUCCGAAUUUGGAAGACAGAAAAAAAUGGAGAAGUGGUUUCAGACAGACCCAGACAGAAGUGGUUUCAGAUGGAGAAUGAGCAAAUGGAUGUGGGCUGAAAGCAGUCUGUCAGCUAUUCAACCAACUUGCCAUGGGCAGCCUUCUCCCACCUGCCAUCGGCCACUGGACACGCACGGCUGGAGCUGGACUCCCUUUCGUUCUAACACUGAGAACCCAACAAAACAAUGACAAGUGUGGACAAUCAAGAGAAUAAGUCUAGUCCUGAUUUGGAGUGGUUGCUGAUUUACAUGGUGUAAAUUCUCUUCCUAACUUGACAUCACUGGACAUGGAGUAGGGAAGGGAUGCCCCAACCUCAUUGUCUGGUGGAGAAACACUGAAGAGGAUAGAGAAAAUGGACAGUAAGUGUAAUAAAAUCAUGAGAGAACGGUGGAUUUUGAGCACCAAUUGAGGUAUAAUUGACAUACGUUAACUUGCUAGUACUUGAAGUGUGUGAGUGGAUGGGUUUUGACACACCUGCCAGACCAUCACCAUAAUCAAGUUGACGGACAUUUCUGUCACUCUGGAAAAUUCCCUCAUGUCUCUUUCGCCUCUGCCCCCUUAGGCAGCUACUGACUGCUUUUCAUCACAAUAGAUCAGUUGGCUAUGUUAUUGUCUUUUUUCUAAAAGAUUGAUUUGUGGCUGGCGCUGCAGCUCACUAGGCUAAUCCUCUGUCUGCGGUGCCGGCACCCCGGGUUCUAGUCCCGGUCGGGGUGCCGGAUUCUGUCCUGGUUGCUCCUCUUCCAGGCCAGCUCUCUACUGUGGCCCGGGAGUGCAGUGGAGAAUGGCCCAGGUGCUUGGGCCCUCUACCCGCAUGGGAGACCAGGAGAAGCACCUGGCUUCUGGCUUCUGGCUUCGGAUCAGUGCGGUGUGCCCGCCGCAGUGUGCCGGCCACAGCGGCCCCUGGGGGGUGAACCAAUGGCAAAGGAACACCUUUCUCUCUGAUCGAUUUGUAUGAAAGGCAGAUUUAUAGAGUCAGAGGCAGAGAGAGGUCUUCCAUCUGCUGGUUCACUCCCCAGAUGGCCGCAAUGGCCAGAGCUGCGCUGAUCCAGAGCCAGGAGCCAGGAGCUUCUUCCAGGUCUCCCACGUGGCUGCAAGGGCACAAGGACUUGGGCCAUCUUCUACUGCUUUCCCAGGCUGUAGCAGAGAGCUGGAUCGGAAAGUGGAUCAGCCAGGAUUCAAAAGAGUGCUCAUAUGAGAUGGCUGCACUGCAGGGGGCGGCUUUACCCACUGUGCCACAGCGCCGGCCCCUGAUCAGUUUACUAUAAAUGGAAUCAGGUAAUGUGUACUCUUCUGUUGGGCUUCAGCAUGAUUAUUUUGAGUUUCAUCCAUGAUGUUGCAUGUGCAUUCUUUUUUCUCCUUGAGUAUUGUACAUUUAUUACCUCUGUUUAUAAUUCAUUUCAUUGCCAGCUAAUAUAAUUUAAUUUUUAAUAAUGGCUAUGUUUAACAACUGGCUGGAACAUUUCCUAAAAUUUUAACACUUGAUGCUUUCAAGCUGGUGUAAGCCAGCUCUGGCAUACCUCUGGUGGGUAGAGUACAUGGAUGCAUGUGUGUGUGUGUGUGUGCGCGUGUGUGUAUGCAUAUGUUGAACUUUAGACAGAGGCUGAGAGACUUCAGGAUGAAGAGUUUUGGGAAUAAAAUAAAAAGGAAAAGAGAAUUUCUUUUUUUUUUUGACAGGCAGAGUGGACA